UUUGCAGUGUAGAAGGACAGUGUUUAGAAAGUGGGGGAUAGGUAAAAUUGAAAGAUGCUGCACUGCUAUGGUAGAUUCACUUCAGGACUGAAGAACUUUGAGGGAACUUCUGGGUAGGGAAAUGCUGGCUGAUAUGGGAAACAAAUGACCCUCAAAGGAAGUAAACAGAAACUUUCAAAGUGGGGAAAUAGUGACAAUUACAAAGAAUUGAGCCACAUGUGGAGGGGAUCCUUGUGAGUGCAUAUGCUCCCCCUUUCUCAUGAUUAAGUGGGAUUCUAGGUCCCUUGCAGCAGUUUCACUCCAGAUUGGGUGGAUGCUGAUUAGUGAUGCCCAAUGCAUGUAGGCUGUGUACUUCCCUGACUGUGACCGGAACACAGGAAGGAAAAAAAAAUACUAGAAACUGGGUCUCUUCAUUGCCUCUUCUUGCAUGAAAAUCCUAAGAGAGAGGAGUCUUGUGUGCAGCCUUAGUAGCAAGAUUACUUUGGUGCUAAGCUGGCAAAGAGUUGAGCCAGGAUCGCAGCAAGUUUUCUGUGACUGGGUUGUGUUGGUCUCCUGCUCAUCUCUUGCAAGCUGUUAAGUUGGAAGGUCCUACAGCCUGUUCUGUGGAAAGGGCUGGGAAACGCCUCUCCUUCCAUGAGAGCAGAAAAGGAGGGAACUACUUUGGUUCCACUUUGCUGUGCAUUUUGUGUUUUUUAUUCUGAGGCUGGCACAGUUGUGUAUCCUAAUAUAAUGGACCUUUGGGUUUCUAAAUGGAGCCACUGUUAAGUUCUUCUAAAUGUCAAACUAGCACUUUUUUAACUACCCUUGCUAGAUCUUCAAAGGUACUGAUGAUGCCUAGAAGCUGUGCACCCAGCAGGUGGUGCCUUAGGAAUUCCAGCACUCCUAGAGUUCCCAUUGGGUGUGACAAGUCUGCCCUGUUGUCACUUGAGUUUAUGAAACAUAACUUGGUUCUCUUUGCUGAUGUCACCUACCUGGUACAGAUGAGAUCUUGUCAGAAAGCAAAUACUAAGAGGAGAUUUAUCCUAGGAGCCCUUAGAUAGGAGAGCUGGAAGAAAAAUCCAAAGACUGAAGGAAGGUGACCUUUUGUAACAAUAGGUUACAUCCGUCUUUCUGAGGUAGAAAUGAACAAAUAUGUGCAGAAUAUUAAUGGCAUAAGACACCAUCUUUCAGAUAGGAUGUAAAAUCUGAGGUCCUGUCCACAGUAAAAGCCUUGUGGACUGUUUUGGAAUACAGUGGCUGAUUCCAAGAGUUUGACCAGCUUUAUAUUUACUUAAAUUCUCCCUGUAGCUUCAUUUGGUUAUAGAUCUCUUAAUUUUUGUUCCUAAACUCAUGAUAUCUGCUGUUCAGCAGCUAGAACACUUCCUUCUGGAAGCAGCUGCGUUCCAGUGACUGAUAGAAUAAUAUGUCUAUCCCGUUGAGUAGGUGAUCCUCAGAUUUAAAAGGUCUGUUAUCAAUGCAACCUCUAUUCACUGUAAGAACAACUGAAACAGUAAAUGUUGCAAUUUAAAAUGGGAUACUUAGUGCUUUAAGAGGAUUGACACACCACUUCCAUCAAUAUUAAGCAGAAGGGCUUUAUUAAAUUCAAUAAUGAGCUUGGUAAGAAAAUGACAGGCUAUUGCAAUACACAAAGAAAGCAAGUUAUAAUCAAGUCCAGUGUAGCUUGAGCUGUAAGUGCUUUCUCACCAAUCAUGGGCAAGGAAGCAGUUCUGAUAGUUGCAGUUUUCACAGGGUGUGGAUCUGUUGCUGAGAUGGUCAGCUGUGCGCAGGUUACGAGGUUCUCCCCUGGGGUGACUAGGCUGUGCUGGCAGCUGAACUCUUCUCUUGUACUUCGAAGCAUAUUUUCUUGAUGGACUGAUGACUACAGCCUGGACAAAGCCAAUAGACUUUGGUGACUAGGCUGUGGAGGUCAUUGUUCUUUGAUUGCAUUGUAGAUGUUAACAUUUCCAAUCCAUCCCUGGUGGUUGUUGGUAAAAUGGACAUGCACAAAAUCCUUGACUGCCCUGCAGGUUUUAUUUACUUAAUUAUAACAGGACUUGAUUACUUGAGUUUAACACCUUUAAUUAGAUGGUAAGCCUCCAAUUUACAGCAAUGGGACUUGAUUAAUCAAAUCAUGUACCUCUGACCAUGAGUGGGCACUAUAGCAUAAUUGAUCUUGAGUUGUUAGAUAUGGGGUGUAUUCAAUACUAGAAGCCAGAGAUGGGAUUUACUAUGUUGUAUUUCAGGUGGUCCCAAUCAUGAGCUUGCAUUUCUGUGCAAAACGCACUUCUAUUAUGAGAGAUCAUUUACAUGUUGCAUGUAGGCUGGGACAAGCUCUGUGUCUAGCAGUAAAUACUAAAGCGGAGUCCUCUGUGUAUGUUAGUACAGCCAGGAUUUAUGGGAGUUGCCCUGACACACACUGAGAAAAGAGUGUACAUAAUAAUGACUGGGCUGGAGCAAGAUACGAACUAACUCCAAGAAGAACAAGGAAAAACGGAACUUUGUUGACAUCACAAACCACAAACAGAAUUAAUUCCAUGAAGCUCCCUGCAGCUCACUUCUGCUUUUAAUUUGUCUGAAUACAGACCUUAGACUCUUCUAAAGUUUCAAAAUGUUGUAGUUGUAAACAGUAAUCCCACUGUCGGUGUGGCUGGUAGCUCAUGGAGUACUGGAAUGACAGCAAAAAGCUAGUUAUGAAAGCUUCCUCAAUCAAUAAACAUUCAUUUAUCCAUUAAA